GGCUCAGGACGAACGCUGGCGGCGUGCUUAACACAUGCAAGUCGAGCGGUAAGGCCUCUUUGGGGGUACACGAGCGGCGAACGGGUGAGUAACACGUGGGUGACCUGCCUCCUACUCUGGGAUAAGCUUGGGAAACUGGGUCUAAUACCGGAUAUGACCACAUGUCGCAUGGUGUGUGGUGGAAAGCCAGGGACUUUUGUUUCUGGUGGUGGGGGAUGGGCCCGCGGCCUAUCAGCUUGUUGGUGGGGUGAUGGCCUACCAAGGCGACGACGGGUAGCCGGCCUGAGAGGGCGACCGGCCACACUGGGACUGAGACACGGCCCAGACUCCUACGGGAGGCAGCAGUGGGGAAUAUUGCGCAAUGGGCGGAAGCCUGACGCAGCGACGCCGCGUGGGGGAUGACGGCCUUCGGGUUGUAAACCUCUUUCGCCAGGGACGAAGCGUGUGUGACGGUACCUGGAGAAGAAGCACCGGCCAACUACGUGCCAGCAGCCGCGGUAACACGUAGGGUGCGAGCGUUGUCCGGAAUUAUUGGGCGUAAAGAGCUCGUAGGCGGUGUGUCGCGUCGGCCGUGAAAACUUGCAGCUUAACUGUGGGCGUGCGGUCGAUACGGGCAUCACUGGAGUUCGGCAGGGGAGACUGGAAUUCCUGGUGUAGCGGUGAAAUGCGCAGAUAUCAGGAGGAACACCGGUGGCGAAGGCGGGUCUCUGGGCCGAUACUGACGCUGAGGAGCGAAAGCGUGGGGAGCGAACAGGAUUAGGUACCCUGGUAGUCCACGCCGUAAACGUUGGGCGCUAGGUGUGGGGGCCAUUCCACGGUCUCUGUGCCGUAGCUAACGCAUUAAGCGCCCCGCCUGGGGAGUACGGCCGCAAGG
rnacentral:rRNA from 1 species